rnacentral:rRNA from 1 species
GCACAAGCGGUGGAGCAUGUGGUUCAAUUCGAAGCAACGCGCAGAACCUUACCAGCCCUUGACAUGUCCGGGACCGGUCGCAGAGAUGUGACCUUCUCUUCGGAGCCCGGAACACAGGUGCUGCAUGGCUGUCGUCAGCUCGUGUCGUGAGAUGUUGGGUUAAGUCCCGCAACGAGCGCAACCCCCGUCCUUAGUUGCUACCAUUUAGUUGAGCACUCUAAGGAGACUGCCGGUGAUAAGCCGCGAGGAAGGUGGGGAUGACGUCAAGUCCUCAUGGCCCUUACGGGCUGGGCUACACACGUGCUACAAUGGCGGUGACAAUGGGAAGCGAAGGCGCAAGCCCUAGCAAAUCUCAAAAAGCCGUCUCAGUUCGGAUUGGGCUCUGCAACUCGAGCCCAUGAAGUUGGAAUCGCUAGUAAUCGUGGAUCAGCACGCCACGGUGAAUACGUUCCCGGGC